rnacentral:snoRNA from 1 species
GAGCCCUUGCCAAACACUCUGGCCCUUACCCCCUUCCCUUCGUGGAUCGGUUCAACCUAUGGUAUAGGCCUAUUUUUGAAGCAAGGAGAGCAGAUCUUGUCCGAUUACUCACCGCGACAUUCUCCUUCGGGCGUGGAUGUAGUGGUCCAUAUCUUUCUGGGCAACAU